rnacentral:hammerhead_ribozyme from 1 species
AUCCGGUUGAGGAGUCCUAAAUAGGACGAAGUGUGGCGCAUCCUGGAU